ensembl:lncRNA
GGGUCUCAAAGAGUCAGACAUGACUUAGCAUCUAAGCCAUCAACACCAUAGAUGUGUAUAUGUAUGUAUAUAUACAUACAUAUGUGUGUGUGUGUAUACAUACAUACAUGCUAUCGGUUCUGUUUCUCUGGAGAGUCUUAGCUAAUAUUUCUUCCUUUCCAGUGUCCCAGUAACAGAAAAAAAAAAAAAGGCUAAAUCAAUCUACCAAGGCCUUGGUGUAAAGACCUUGGGGUCAUCCUUGCCUAUCCUCUUUUUUCCACACCUAAGAUUCAACGCAAAGCAAAUCAUGUCAGGUCUACAUUUCAAGUAUAUCCAGAACCUGACUGAAACUUAUUUUGCCUCUUGCCACCAGCAUGGGCUGAACUUCUGUCUCCCCUCACCUGGGCAAAUGCAGUGGUGUCUUAACUAGUCUCCCUGCUUCCACCCCUGCUCCUUUAUAGCCAACUAUCUUCACAGCAACCAGAUGAUUCCUUCUCAAACGUGUCAGUCAAAUAUUCUCAUUUGGGGUGAAAUCCAAAGUCUUCACCAUGGCUUGCCAGUCCCUGCAGGGUCUGGCUGCUCCUUCUUCUUCACUGGCUCUGUCUCCCAGCACUCCUUGUUCACUCUGCUUUCUGGCCUCCUUGCCUUUCUUCUUCUUCUUCAUUUUAACAGGCCAGAAAUUCUCUCUCUGAAAUGUCCUAUUCUCAAGUACCCAUACCUGCCUGCAUGCUAAGUCACUUCUGUUGUGUCCGACUCUUUGCAACCCUAUGGGCAGUAACCAGCCAGGCUCCUCUGUCCAUGGGGAUUCUCCAGGCAAGAAUACUGGAAUGGGUUGCCAUGCCCUCCUCCAGGGGAUCUUCGUGACCCAGGGAUGGAACUUGCGUGUCUUAUGUCUCCUGCAUUGUUUACUACUAGCAGCCCCCCGGGAAGCCCCAAUUAUUCAUAGGGUCUUCCUAAAUUCCCUCAGGCACGUCCCUCAGAGACUUCCCCUAUGUGAAACAAUUCUCCCCCAGCAUCUGAUCUUUUUUUUGAGCCAUAUUUCACCACCAGGCAUACAGUAUGUCUUAUUUAUCUUCCAAGUCCCCCUCUGGCACGUGAGACCCAUGAAAGUAGAUUGUUUCCUUGUUUCUCUGAGUUCUGAAUGUGGAGCAGAGGUUGGCACCUGGGGGGGCACUCAAUACCUGUUUGUUGAUGAAUGAAUGAGGUUUCUUUCUGUACACUGAAGUAAACAAGAUACUUCUGAUAUAAUAACAGCUAACAUUUAUAGAGCACAUGGGCUUCCCUGGUGGCUCAGAUGGUAGAGAAUCUACUUGCAGUGCAGGAGACCUGGGUUUGAUCCCUGGUCAGGAAGAUCCCUGGAGAAGGGAAUGGCAACUCACUCCAGUAUUCUUGCCUGGGGAAUCCCAUGGACAGAGGAGCCUGGUGGGCUACAGCCCAUGGGUUGCAAACAGCUGGACAUGACUACGCACACACAGCACACUCACAGAGCACAGUCUACGUGGUGCUAGGCCAUGUUUCUGAUGUGGGGAUGCUAUAAAUGAACUCAUUUCAUUGCCACAACCCUAGCAUUUUCUGAAUGAGUAAACCGAGGCAGAGGUAAUUCUGCCAAUAUCACACAGCUGAUAAAGAAUGGAGCCUGACUUCCAGCCCAGGCCAAUUCCAGUUCCACAAUAUGUGUGUGUGCUUAGUCCCUCAGUUGGGAGGGGGUAGCCAUUUCCUUCUCCAGGGUAUCUUCCUAACUCAAGAAUCGAGCCUGUGUCUCCUGCAUCAGCAGGUGGGUUUUUACCACUGAGCCACCAGGGAAGCCAUUGCAACAUGUAACCUUUCCUCUGUCCACGGUGAUUCUCCAGGCAAGAAUACUGGAGUGGGUUGCCACGCUCUCUCCUCCAGGGGAUCUUCCCAACCCAGGGAUCGAACCCAGGUUUCCCACAUUGCAGGUGGAUUCCUUAACAUCUGGGCCACCAGGGAAGCCCAAGAAUACUGGAGUGGAUAGCCUACCUCUUAUCCAGGGUAACUUCCCGACCCAGGAAUCAAACAAGGGUCUCCUGCAUUGCAGGCAGAU